rnacentral:rRNA from 1 species
CCUACGGGAGGCAGCAGUCGAGAAUCAUUCACAAUGGGGGAAACCCUGAUGGUGCGACGCCGCGUGGGGGAAUGAAGGUCUUCGGAUUGUAAACCCCUGUCAUGUGGGAGCAAAUUAAAAAGAUAGUACCACAAGAGGAAGAGACGGCUAACUCUGUGCCAGCAGCCGCGGUAAUACAGAGGUCUCAAGCGUUGUUCGGAAUCACUGGGCGUAAGGCGUGCGUAGGCUGUUUCGUAAGUCGUGUGUGAAAGGCGCGGGCUCAACCCGCGGACGGCACAUGAUACUGCGAGACUAGAGUAAUGGAGGGGGAACCGGAAUGCUCGGUGUAGCAGUGAAAUGCGUAGAUAUCGAGAGGAACACUCGUGGCGAAGGCGGGUUCCUGGACAUUAACUGACGCUGAGGCACGAAGGCCGGGGGAGCGAAAGGGAUUAGAUACCCCGGUAGUC